rnacentral:lncRNA from 1 species
GAAUAAUAUAUAGUCUCCUCUGUAAUCUACUACUUAGCUUGAUUCUUGCUUAAAGCCACUCGCUUUCUUCUGGGUUUGUUUUGCUACUAGUUCUAGUAAUAUUCUUUUCAAGUUGCUGGGUUCUUUAAGUUUCAAUUUUCGGUUUCAUACAUAACAUUUUAUUUGGUGGGUUGUUGUUGUCUUUGAUGUGCAUAGAUAGAUGAUUGUUUUGGUGGGACAUAAGAGAAGAGGUGAGAUGUUUUUUUAGAUUUUAGAAUUCUCUUUUAAAAGUGUGUGUAGGUUUUGUGGACAGUAAAUAAAAAUACUCUGCUGCUAAGUUUUUACA